AUGGCCGCAGGACAGGCUCUGAUGGUUGGUCCUUCCAGGGUUGCACCUCUCCUCUGGGUCACCAACUUUGGACAAGUGGAGGUCUCAGAGCUCAGCAUCCCAGAACACUUGGAGAAGAUGUCAGUCCUGGGGGUGCCAACCUCACCCACCUCCCCUUGUCCAAAGUUGGUGACCCUGAGGACAGGUGCAACCCUGGAAUCCAAACAUCAGAGCCUGUCCUGUGGCCAUCUGGGCCCCUCUCAGAUCAGUGAGCGCUAUGGCCCGGUGUUCACCAUUCACCUGGGCCCCGGCGGUGUAGUGCUGUGCGGAUAUGAUGCCGUCAAGGAGGCUCUGGUGGACCAGGCUGAGGAGUUCAGCGGGCGAGGCGAGCAGGCCACCUUCGACUGGCUCUUCAAAGGCUAUGGCGUGGUUUUCAGCAACGGGGAGCGCGCCAAGCAGCUCCGGCGCUUCUCCAUCGCCACCCUGCGGGACUUCGGGGUGGGCAAGCGCGGCAUCGAGGAGCGCAUCCAGGAGGAGGCGGGCUUCCUCAUCGAGGCCCUCCGGGACACCGCAGGCGCCAAUAUCGAUCCCACCUUCUUCCUGAGCCGCACGUCUCCAAUGUCAUCAGCUCCAUUGUCUUUGGGGACCGCUUUGACUGAGGACAAAGAGUUCCUGUCACUGCUGCGCAUGAUGCUGGGAAGCUUCCAGUUCACCUCUCUCUGCAACCCCCAGCUCUAUGAGAUGUUCUCUUCGGUGAUGAAACACCUGCCAGGACCACAGCAACAGGCCUUUAAGGAGCUGCAAGGGCUGGAGGACUUCAUAGCCAAGAAGGUGGAGCACAACAGGCGCACGCUGGAUCCCAACUCCCCACGGGACUUCAUCGACUCCUUUCUCAUCCGCAUGCAGGAGGAGGAGAAGAACCCCAACACGGAGUUCCACUUGAAGAACCUGGUGCUGACCUCGCUGAACCUCUUCUUUGGAGGCACCGAGACCGUCAGCACCACCCUGCGCUACGGCUUCCUGCUGCUCAUGAAGCACCCAGAGGUGGAGGCCAAGGUCCACGAGGAGAUUGACAGAGUGAUCGGCAAGAACCGGCAGCCCAAGUUUGAGGACCAGGCCAGGAUGCCCUACAUGGAGGCAGUGAUCCACGAGAUCCAAAGAUUUGGAGACAUGCUCCCCUUGGGUGUGGCCCACAGGGUCAUCAAGGACACCAAGUUUCGGGAUUUCUUCCUCCCUAAGGGCACCGAAGUGUUCCCUAUGCUGGGCUCCGUGCUGAAAGAUCCCAAGUUCUUCUCCAACCCCCAGGACUUCAAUCCCCAGCACUUCCUGGAUGAGAAGGGGCAGUUUAAGAAGAGUGAUGCUUUUGUGCCCUUUUCAAUCGGAAAGCGGAACUGUUUCGGGGAAGGCCUGGCCAGAAUGGAGCUCUUUCUCUUCUUCACCACCAUCAUGCAGAACUUCCGCUUCAAGUCCCCCCAGUCGCCCAAGGACAUCGACGUGUCCCCCAAACACGUGGGCUUUGCCACGAUCCCACCAAACUACACCAUGAGCUUCCUGCCCCGCUGAGGGAGGGCUGUGCUGGGGCAGGUCUGGUGGGCGGGGCCAGGGGCGGGGCUCACGGGAGGGGCGGGACUAAGAAUGGUUGCAGGAUAGGGGAAAGGAAGACUAUGGUUAGAGGGAAGAGAAGAAACAGAAGGGGCUCAGUUCACCUUAAUGAUGUCCUUCAGAGCUGGGAUGAGAGGAAGGGAAACCUUAUAGUAUGCUAUGGAGAGUAGUAAUAAUAGCCGCUCUUAUUUCCUGAA